UUCCUACGGGGCGCAGCAGUGAGGAAUAUUGGUCAAUGGCCGAGAGGCUGAACCAGCCAAGUCGCGUGAGGGAAGACGGCCCUACGGGUUGUAAACCUCUUUUGUCGGGGAGCAAAGCGAACCACGUGUGGUUCAUUGAGAGUACCCGAAGAAAAAGCAUCGGCUAACUCCGUGCCAGCAGCCGCGGUAAUACGGAGGAUGCGAGCGUUAUCCGGAUUUACUGGGUGUAAAGGGGGCGCAGACGGCAAUGCAAGCCAGGAGUGAAAGCCCGGGGCCCAACCCCGGGACUGCCCUUGGAACUGCCU
rnacentral:rRNA from 1 species